rnacentral:tRNA from 1 species
GUUUCCAUAGUGUAGCAAUUAGCACAUCUGCUUUACAUGCAGAAGAUCCUAGGUUCACACCCCAGUGGAGCCA